GCACCGAGCGCAACCUCUGAUCUUAGUUGCCAGCAUUCAGUUGGGCACUCUAAGGUGACUGCCGGUGACAAACCGGAGGAAGGUGGGGAUGACGUCAAAUCAUCAUGCCCCUUAUGACAUGGGGUACACACGUGCUACAAUGGAUGGUACAAAGGGCAGCGAAGCCGCGAGGUGGAGCGAAUCCCAUAAAACCAUUCUCAGUUCGGACCGUASGCUGCAACUCGCCUACAUGAAGCCGGAAUCGCUAGUAAUCGCGGAUCAGCAUGCCGCGGUGAAUACGUUCCCGGGCCUUGUACACACCGCCCGUCACACCACGAGAGUUUGUAACACCCGAAGUCGGUGAGGUAACUGGUGGUUUCACUGAGUAUCUG
rnacentral:rRNA from 1 species